GAAGAUAUAGUAUUGGAACAAGACCAAAUGGAGCCAACGCCUGAAAUUGAAGAGAUUGAACAAUCUAGUUAAGAAAAAAAUAAAAUAAAAAUAAUUGGUUUUUGUUUAUCAAUACUGUGUUUGCGGGGACGCUGCACAGUUAGGAGUGAGGCUAUGUAAAAUAAGUAGUUAUUUUCAGAAUGUAGAUACCUAGCGUAUAGUGUAAAUAGAGAUAGAUAACUGCUGAAAAGGUAGUUCAGUAGGUAGAAUGGAUGAAUAGUCAAGAAAAGUAGUUAUCAUCUAUAGUAUAGGAGUUGGUAUCUCGGGGUAGUAUAAAGAGGAUGGGAGAGAGGAAGAAAAGGCCAGACUAUGAUAGUCACGAACCGGGGAUAAGCUUGGUGCUAUUUCUUCUUCUUAAUUUUGCUGUUUCUUUUGCGUUAGUGUUGAUUCUAGUAAAGAGAAUCGAUUUAAUGAAUCAAUGUUUGAUUUACGAAGUUAUUUAUGGAUCACUGUUUAUUAAUUGUUGUG
rnacentral:lncRNA from 1 species